rnacentral:lncRNA from 1 species
AAGAGUACGAGGGCUUAACUACAAUUCUACCAAUUAAAUCAGAAUAAUUGGGCUAACGGAUCCGGAUUGCUACCCAACUAAAGAUCCAUUUAGUUAGUUAGUUUUAGUUAGUAUUGUAUUAGCUGCUAAUUAGUUAAUUAGUUGUUAAUAAACUAUCUAUUAAUACAGAAACUUAAGUAUGAUGUAAUGCACAAUUUGAGAGAGUAAAUGACAUAGUUAACACUAAUUACUUCACUACAGUGUUAACGGCUAUCUCAUUCAGGUAAUACGAGUUACCCUAUUUCCUUCCCUCUUCUUGCUGAUUUCUCACCGUCCGGCUAAUUAGUUUGCGUAUUCCGUCUACUGGAACGCACUCAACGUUUAAUAUGGUAUCUGCCGGUAGUAUCGGCCAUGCUUCCGCUAAUGGAGAAGAAGAACGAGCCCUCACCCAGCAGCAAGAAGGUGACACAGGGUCGUCGAGUUCUUCACCAUCUUCUCCGCCUACAAUUAUGCAUUCUCCUCGACACAAGUCGCGUUCUUCCUCCAAGAGUAAACGCAAGAGUCACCACCAUAAGCAUCGCUCCCACAAAUCCAGAAGGUCUGCCCCUGUUUCAGCAAUAAACGAUAGGGAGUCAAUCUAUUAUCUAAACUCUGGAGAUCACCCGGGUGCACUGAUGGUUGCUGAUAAAUUGAUUGGAGAAUCAAAUUACGCAAGCUGGGCCAAUGCCAUGAAGCUUUCACUGCUGUCCAGGAGAAAAAUAAAUUUUGUGAAUGGCAGAAUUCAAAAACCAGAGGAUAGAGGAGGAAAAGAGUUUGAAGCUUGGGAGACAGUCAAUGGACUAGUACUUUCAUGGUUAAUCAACAGUGUUUCUCCACAGAUUUCUUCCUCACUAAUGCAUACUGAAGAAGCAAGCAUUGCUUGGAAAGAUCUUCAAGAAAGGUACAAUCAAGGGAAUGCACCUAAGGUCAACCAAGUGAGGUAUGAUCUAAAUAAUUUAAAUCAAGGAUCUGAUAGUGUCACUGAAUACUAUGAUAAGUUCAAGAGUCUUUGGAAUCAAAAGGUAGAAUUAGAUGAUAUAGAUUUUUGUAACUCAUGCAUUCCUAAAUACAAUGACAAGUUAGAAAAAGAUAAAAUCCAUCAAUUCUUGCUAGGGCUGAAUGAGGAUUUUAAGGUCAUAAGAGGGCAAAUUCUCUCAUAUGAUGAACUACCAAACAUGAGUAAACUGUUUUACCUCAUCAUACAAGAGGAAAGACAGAAAACUAUAUUUAGAACAAAAAAUGAUAAACCUAUGGAAUCUUCUGCCCUAUAUGCUAAAAGGACAAAUGAAGAAGAUAAAGAUAGAGGUUUAUAUGGGAAAAAUGGGAAGAAAUUAGACACUUCCAAAUACUGCGAUAAUUGUAAAUUCUAUGGACAUAUUAGAAAGGAUUGUUAUCAUAUUGUGGGAUUCCCAAAUGACAAGAACAAGGAAAACUUCAAGAAAGGCAACAAAUUCAAAAAACCCAAAAUUGAGACUGCAAAUCAAGCCUCAUCCUCAAACUCUGUAAUUCCAGGGAUGUCUAAUGAAGAAAUCCUGAUGCUCAAGGACUUCUUGAAAAACAAUGGUAUGAGUCAUUUUUUAAAUUUUAAAAUAAGUCACUUAUAUAAUGUGAUAGAUCUAAAAACAGAUUGGAUCAUAGAUACUGGAGCUUCCCAACACAUGACUGGGAAUCUUCAGAUAUUUGAUAAACCACCAACUGAAAAUGGUGUUCAUUUUGUCACCAUUCCGAGUGGUGAGGUUUGUAGAACCAAAUUCACAGGAAAGAUAACACUUUCCAAAGAUAUAGUUCUACAAGAUGUCCUUUAUAUACCACAAUUUAAAGUGAAUUUAAUAUCAGUUAAUAAAUUAACUCUAAACAACAAUUUAAAAGUAUUAUUUGAUAAUAAAAAUUGUCAUUUUCAGGAAAGCAAGUCAGGGAAAGUGAUUGGGAAGGGUAGGAGCCAAGAUGGGCUCUAUAUAUACAGUUCUAAUCCCCCUGGUUUUGCAUACACAACCCUAGACUCUAGAACUUGGCAUAAUAGACUUGGACACAUCUCCAAUGAGAAACUUCUUAUGCUUGCUAAAAAUCAGCAAAUAGAGUGUAGAGUAAAAAGUUUACUUUGUAAUAAAAAUUCUAUGUUAGAUGAUUGUAAUAAAGUUUUUUCAAAUAAAAAUUGUGAUGUUUGCCCAUUAUCCAAACAAAACAAACUCAAAUAUACAAAAAGUAUGACAAUAAGUAAAAAUCUAUUUGAUUUAAUUCAUGUAGAUAUUUGGGGUAAAUUCCCAAUUACCACUCAUGAUGGUUUCAAAUAUUUUUUAACCAUUGUAGAGGACUUAAGUAGAACAACAUGGAUUUUUUUAAUAAAAGAUAAAUCCACUGCCUAUGAUUGCAUAAGAAAAUUUAUAUUCAAAGUUAAGAACUUCUUUUCUAAAAAUAUAAAGAUAAUAAGAAGUGAUAAUGGUGGAGAAUUCAAAUCAAAUAAAUUUAAAGAUAUGGUUGAGAGUUUUGGAAUCAUACACCAACUCACAUGUCCAUACAACCCUCAACAAAAUGCAAGGGUUGAGAGAAAACAUAGAUGCUUACUGAAUAUAGCUAGAUCUCUACACAUACAAGCCAAUAUUUCCCUAAAAUAUUGGGGAGAAUGCAUAUUGGCUGCCACAUACAUAAUAAAUAGAAUUCCAUCAAAAAUUCUAGAUAAUAAAACCCCUUUUGAAAUCCUACAUAAACAAAAACCAAAAUACAAUUUUCUAAGAACUUUUGGUUGUUUAUGUUAUGCAACAACACAUAAUAGAGAGCACAAGUUCUCUCCAAGAACCUUCAAAGGGAUAUUCAUGGGAUAUCCUCCCAACAUAAAAGGGUAUUUAGUACUUUGUCUAGAAGAUGAAAAAUUCUACAUAAGUAGAGAUGUAGUUUUUAGAGAGGAUAUUUUUCCUUUUAAUCAAAUUACAUCCAAAAUUGAUCCAAACAAUGAAAAAGAAAACACAUUUCCACUGCAAAAAGUUUUUAAUGAAAUAAUAGAAGAACAUCACCCCAGGGCAGACUGUGUUAAAAUAACCCCAGGGCAAACAAACAAAGAUCAUAAAAUAAUUCAAGACAAACCAGAUAUUACUGGAAAUAACCAGUCUGGACAGUCUAAAAUUACAUCAAUAGUUCAAGCCUUAGACAGGCCAGAUAGAGCUGAAAAUAAUCAGCCUGGUCAGCUUGAUCUCAUAUCAGAAGAUCAAUCUUCAAACAGGCCAGAUAAAGCUGAAAAUAAUCAGCCUGGCCAGCUUGAAUUCAUUUCAGAAGAUCAAUCUUUAAACAGGCCAGAUAGAGCUGAAAAUAAUCAAUCUAUUCAGUCUGAAAUUGUUUUAGAAAAACAAUCAAAAAUUUUCAUGGACAGACCAAAAACAAAUAAAAAUGGACAGACCAGGGCAACACCAGAAAUACAAUCCCAUCACAGCAUUGGCAAUAACCAAUCUGAAUAUACACAAGAAUUAAUAAAUUCUAGACAAAUCCUUAUUCAUGACACAGAAAUCCAGGGUAUUAAUGAAAGGAAUCCAAUACAAAUUGAUCACAAUACAAGUGAUCAUAGAAUUCAAGAUAGAGGGUUAGAUUCAGUUAAAAACACUGAAAAUAACACAAUAACAAGUAGAAAUACAAAGCAAACUAGAUUGGGCAGAGUUAUAUCCAAACCCAAACAUUUUGAUGAUUUUCAUAUGGGAAGUGAAUCACCAAAGAAAAUCAAAUAUCCCAUGAGUAACUAUGUGUCAUAUCACAGAAUAAAUGAUCAACACAAAGAUCUUCUCAAACAAAUUACUAAAAACAUUGAACCAAAAACCUUCUAUGAGGCAUCAACCAAUCCAAAAUGGAUAGAGGCAAUGAAAAAAGAGAUGGAUGCCCUCAUCUCAAAUAACACUUGGGUCAUUACUGAACUUCCAAAAGGAAGAAAAGCAGUAGGAUCCAAGUGGAUUUACAAAAUUAAAUAUAAACCAAAUGGAGAAAUUGAGAGAUACAAGGCAAGACUUGUAGCAAAGGGAUUCUCUCAGAAAGAAGGUUUUGAUUUUUAUGAAACUUUUGCACCAGCUGCAAAAAUGACAACAGUGAGGAUUCUAAUUGCUCUAGCAGCUCAUAAAAGAUGGAAUCUAUAUCAAAUAGAUGUUAACAAUGCUUUCCUCCAUGGAGAUCUCCAUGAGGAAGUAUAUCUAAAACCACCCCAAGGAUUACUCCAAGAAGGAGAUAAAAGAGUGUGCAAACUCAGUAAAUCCCUAUAUGGCCUUAAACAAGCCUCAAGGAACUGGUUUGAAAAGUUAAGAACUACACUCCUAGAAAUAGGUUUUUCACAAGCCAAAUCAGACUACUCUCUUUUCAUAAGAGAAAAGAAUGAAAACAUAGUCUAUCUAGUUGUAUAUGUAGAUGAUAUAAUCAUCACAGGCAGCAAUGAACUAGAAAUAGGAUUCCUGAAAAUCCAGUUAGAAAAUAAAUUUAAACUAAAGGAUCUUGGAAAAUUAAGCUAUUUUCUAGGAAUUGAGGUAUCAUACUCAAAUGAAGGGAUUUUUUUGUCCCUAAGGAAAUAUGCCUUAGAGAUACUUGAGGAAAGUGGCAUCUCAGGUGCAAAAGAAUCCAAAGUUCCUAUGGAAAGAAAUAUAGACCUCAAAAAUGAGUCUAAACAAAUCCAAGAUCCAACAUUCUAUAGGAAACUAGUUGGAAAACUAAUAUACCUAAAUAUAACUAGACCUGACUUAAGCUAUGCAGUCCACUGGCUCAGUCAGUUUAUGAGUGAACCAAAAGAAGUUCAUUUAAAAGCCUUAUUCAAAGUAUUAAGGUAUCUCAAAGGAGCCCCUGGGCAGGGAAUCAUUUAUAAGAAAAAUCAGGAUUUAAGUAUCCAUGCUUAUUGUGACUCUGAUUGGGCUGGCUGCCAGAUAAGUAGGAAGUCUGUGACUGGUUUUUGUAUCCUAAUUGGGAAUUCCAUAAUAUCAUGGAAAUCUAAGAAGCAAGCCAUAAUCUCAAGAUCCUCCUGUGAGGCUGAAUAUAGAGCAAUAGCUCAAACAGCUUGUGAGGUGAUAUGGAUACACCAACUAAUAAAAGAAAUGAAAUUAAAAACAGAUUUUAAAACAACAACACUAUAUUGUGAUAACAAGUCAGCAAUCAACCUAGCUAAUAACCCUGUUUUCCAUGAGAGAACAAAACACAUAGAGAUUGAUUGCCAUUUUAUUAGAGAAUUAAUUACCCAAGGAGUGAUUUUCUUAAAACAAGUUGGAACUAAAUUCCAAUUAGCAGAUAUGUUUACUAAGCCCUUGGGUGAGGUUGAGAUCACAUCUUCCUCUGUCAAGCUUGGAGUCAUAAACAUUUACUCCAGAGCUUGAGGGGAGAGUAAAAGAGUGAUCAGAAAAUUACUAGACUAAGAGAGUAAUCAGAAAAUGAUUAAUAUAAAACAAUCACUGAACUGGAUCUAAGUGUAAUUAAAUAAAACAUAAGGUUAUGGAGUUUUGCCUAAGAGAAGAAACUGCAAGGUCAAAGAGGCAAAAUUCACCACUUAAAAGCAGUUCGUAAAUAUGAAGGAGCACGAGGGCGAGAGUGCAACUUUAACCACUUAAAGAUAGUUGAUAAAUAUAAAGAAGCACGAGGGCGAAAGUGCAACUUUAACCACUUAAAGACGCCCGAGAAAUACUUAAGAGUACGAGGGCUUAACUGCAAUUCUACCAAUUAAAUCAGAAUAAUUGGGCUAACGGAUCCGGAUUGCUACCCAACUAAAGAUCCAUUUAGUUAGUUAGUUUUAGUUAGUAUUGUAUUAGCUGCUAAUUAGUUAAUUAGUUGUUAAUAAACUAUCUAUUAAUACAGAAACUUAAGUAUGAUGUAAUGCACAAUUUGAGAGAGUAAAUGACAUAGUUAACACUAAUUACUUCACUACAGUGUUAACGGCUAUCUCAUUCAGGUAAUACGAGUUACCCUAUUUCCUUCACUCUUCUUGCUGAUUUCUCACCGUCCGGCGAGCCAAGGUCGCCGGAGUUUGCGUAUUCCGUCUACUGGAACGC